AUCUGUCUCAGGGAAACAUAUUGGUGAUUCAGAUCGUUUCGAAGUUCGAAGUUCUCUCUCGAAAUCGAAGUUGAGAUAAUUUCAGAUCGAUGAUUCAGAUCAUUUCAGAUCGGUGAUUCAACCAUUUCGAAGUUCUCUCUCUCUCGAAAUCGAAAUCGAAGUUCAUCUCAGCGAUUCAGAUCGAUGAAGCUGAGGCUGAGGCUGAGGCUGAUGAGCAGCAAAUAUUGAUUUCUCUGUAUUCACCUCUCAUCUUGGUACUGUUUUUGCAGAUUAGUUCAGUUUUAGGGCUGUGAGAGAGAAGUUGUAGAGUCUGCAAAUGGUGUCUCAGAUGAACUAAAGAGUGAGAGCAUUAUGCGGUUAUCAUGGGCUCUUGUUCAUUCCAAACAACCAAAAGAUGUGCAGUGUGGGAUAGCUAUGCUUGAAGCCUCAUUAGCCAAUAGUGGCAGCCCAUUGCAAAAUGAGGGAAAAGCUUUAUCUUCUUGCUUUUGGGUAUUACUGAAGUAGUGAAUAUCGAAGGAGCAGGCAGCUUGUAGAACAAUGUUGGGUAAAAACUUUAAUUUGAAAUUUUCGAGGUUGAAUUUUUUGGUUAUGCUUUUGUCUUUCCAUUAUUGUACCCUUCUGGUUGUGUUCUAUUUCAGUUCAAAAUAUGAGUAAAGAAGAGUUCUUGAAGAUCCAGGUACUCUUUAAUAAAUGAUAUAUAUACUUAUAUACAUAUAUGUAUAUAUAUAGGCAUUUCCACACUAUUAUGUUGUUUUCUUGAAAUGCUUUGCUUGUUUUGAACUAAAGAUUUGAAAUACUCUUUACCUGUCAUGUUUCUUUUUCUUUUUUCUUUUUUUCUUUACAAUACAUUUGCAAUUGGUUUUGUUGGGAGUUGGGACAAACUAGCAAAAUCAUCAACUUGUUAGUUUGUUACACCCAAAAUACACACAAGAAAUGCAAGAAAUCAGUACAGUUGCUUCCUUGUAGUGGAUAAGGUUAAAAUACCUGCGUUGUUGCUGGGUAAUUUCUUUCUCUAUUUAUCUUUAUCUUUAUCUUUUUUCCUUUUUUUUGGGAGGUAAAUAUUGUAUUUGAAUCCUUGUAAGUUGAAUGUCAGAGAUACAUUUCUUUGUAAUUUGUUGCAUUUGACUCAAGUGGCUCUCGCUCUCUGAGGUAUCUGUGUGUAUGAUUCUUGUAUAUCAUUGGGAGAUACUUUGUGUAAUAUGAGAGGAUAUGUUGGUGUCUAGAAAGUUCAAUUUUCAAUUAUUUAUAUAAGACUGCAGAGAGAGUCGCAUUCAAGAGUACCAUCAUGGGAGGAAGUUAUGAAUAUAAAAUCCAAAUGGCUUUGGAAAUGGCUGCCUUUUUUGUUUUUUUUUUUUU